CUUUGUGCGGGUGGUAAAUAACCCAGCGCAAAGUUAGCAAGUUGCAGCUCCGGCAUCCUGACUCCAUGGAACUUUUUUGUGGGGAGAAGGGCAGGAUGUUUUUAACAGAAUGUGAGCGCCCCGGAGCCCUGGAGAAAGCAAUCCCAUCUCUGAAUGGGGCCGUGUGGAGAAACCCGAAGAGAAACAGCAUAAGAGCCUUUUGGAAUAUAUCCCGGAAAAGAUAAUUUUCUACACAUCUGCAGCGUUUCUCCGGGUAAAGAGCUGGGUUCCAGUGGGGUUUAGAAUCACAAACCGGGAAACAGGAGGCGCCAGUGGCUGAUGGCUCAAGCACCAUAUCUUAAUGGUCAUUCCCUUGCUCCAAAGGCUACUAGUUUGGUGGUACAAUCAUACCCUCCAGUUUGGGGCUGGUUUGUAGUAACCGAGUGGGAAGAAUGAGUCUGUGGAGUCCUGGUUCUGCCUCCACCCUAAGUAAGUCGCUUAGCUUCGCUGAGAUUCAAACUAAAUUUUUUAACUUUUUUAUUUUUAUUGAAAUGUAGUUGAUUUACAAUGUUGUGUUAGGUUUAGGUGUACAGCAAAGUGAUUCAUAUGUAAAUAUAUAUGAAUAUUAUAUAUGUGUGUGUAUAUAUAUAUAUAGAUAUACAUACAUAUUCUUUUUUUACAUUCUCUUUCAUUGUAGGUUAUUCCAAUAUACUGAGUAUAGUUUCCUGCAUUAUAUAGUAGGUUCUGGUUGGCUAUCUAUUUUAUAUAAAGUAGUGUAUGUAUUUUAAACCCAAACUCCUUGAAAUUCAGACUUUACAUCUGUAAGAUAUAUAAAAAUUGGCAGAAGUUGUUGCGGGUGCUCAUUAUACAGAGAAUUUUGUAAAUGUUGGGUUUUCUGAGUUUGUGUUUGUUCUUCCAUCAUCAUAUUUUUCUGCGCAUGUGUGAAAAAAAUGCCUGAAGGCAGGUUCUACGGGAGUAAAUGACACUUGAAGAAAUGUAAAGCCGUAGAUGCUAUAGGUGGAGGAUGACAACACUUUGGGACAAUUGCAUCACCACCACUGCCACAGCCUUGAGAAGAAAAGAUCAUUAACUCACUUAACAAGCCAUCAAGUGUCUGAUGAUAUCUCUCAACUGAGUGAAAAGUGCCUGUUGGGAGAUUUGGUCAGAACGACAACAGAACAUUGGAAAUGCCUUCCUUUCCUCUUCACGAGUCCAUCUGUUACUUCUUUCCGUGUCUGAAGGGCUUCGACACAAAUUGGUGUUUCCAGGUUCUCUUCUGGCACAUGAAUCUACCGUGCACAUGUGUUUGAACUCAGCAGUCCCGGAGGGGGGAUUUUGAAGGACCUUGGACCCUGGUCCUCAGACUUGGUCGAGCUCACCCAGGAGCAGGGUCCUUCUCCUUUUUUGGUCUUGUGAAAUCUUCUUUGAUUUCCUCAUCCCAGUGUCUUUUUGAUCUGGGCCAGGCUACGAGAGCAUACGAAGAGAGAGAGGCAAAGGCUAGCAGUUAAAGAAGAAAUGGCUGUGUGGAGGGACCAUGCAAUGACAAGGGCGUAUCACCUAAUUGUCAAUGAGUCUUUGCUUCAGUCCUUGUUUGACAAGCUUAGUGAAGAGUGGAGAUUGUCUGCAACUACAGUCGAAAGACCAGGUUCUUGUGUUGAAUAAUAAUGUCCACAUCUCUGUACAGGUGUGAUGAAAGGUGAAGGCUCGACAGAAAGGAUGUGAUCUCUGAGGCCAACAGCCUGCAGCUUGUCAGGAUCUUGAAGAAACAUGGCAGCCUCUCUCAUGUUGUGGCCUUGGCCAAUGAUCUCUUUAAUGCCCCAUUUUGCAGAGCAAUCUUUGCACGCACAUGCUUAAAGCACGGAUCAAGACUAGCUCUGCUUUGAUUAAACUGGGUCAUGGUUGCCAUAAAAGUUCUGAAAUUACAGAAAAACUACAUACACGCACACGAAUAAUAUCCACCAUGAUAACUUGUAGAAUGAAUAUUGAUAUAACCCUAAGGGGAAAAAAGCACUUGAAUUCUUCUGCUUUUCUGGGUUUUAACCAAGCUGAGGGCUGGGAGGGGCCCUUUUUUUGUCUUUCUCAUGUAGCUGAGGCUCAUGGCAUGUGCUUAGUAAGUGUUGAAUGUAUGAAUGAAAAAGCAAUGCUCGCUGAAAUGUUAACAAGCAAAUUCUGAUCUCACCGUAAGAGCAGAGUACCUUGCCAAUUUAACCGCAGCACAGUUAAAAAUACGGGGCCUGGAGCUGUCCAUGGUGGGAGCAAUUCAAACCAACCUGAUAUAAUUGUUAUUAAUGACCAGGCUGAGCAUGACACAGAGAUAAAAGGAAAUAGCUUGGAAGAGAGCCCUAAAUAAUCCGAAAAUGAGCUAAUCCACCAGGAAAAUGUGGAAUCGCUGUCUACACUCUUUAACACACAGCCUCAAAAUAUACAAAACAAAAGACAGAACAUGAACGCAAAGGAGAUAGGUCUCACUGUGGGAAAGGAACAGGUGUCUCAGGAACAGACAGGGUCUGGGGUUUUGGGGGAAGAGAAGCUUGGGCUGAGGUGGCGGGUGAGGGUCUUGGUGUCAAAGAAAACAAGUGCAAAGAUGAGUCUUCACGGUGGUCUGUGUGCUGCUGGCUCCAAGUGCUGAAAGGAACAGCCUGUGCCACCUACCAAAUACUUUCAGUCUGAAUAACUCAAGUUUAAAGCCGUGCAUCAAGGAUUGCUUGCAUUCCUAGCAAAGCACACAGAAGGGCACUGAAAAAUUAUAUUUUCAGAAUUCGCAGGGGUGGGGGAAUGGGCUACAUAGUAACACCCAACAGGAACUGAACUCUUCCUGUGUGUGUGCCAGGCAUUGUCCUAAGUAUUAACUCACUUAAUUCCACAACAAUCCUAUGUUUAUAAGCCAGGUUUCACCAAGGUUGUGGAACUUUAUAGAUGAGGAAGUGAAGGCAAACAGAAGGUAAGUUUGCCUAAUGACACAAACUGAUAGGGAUGGCAUUUGCAUGAAGCACCCUGGCCGCAGCAGCUUGGUGUCAGUCAGGUAUUUCGUGGUUGACUUGACUUCAGGCAAACCUGCUCGAUAACCACGAUUUUACCCACUUUUAAGAAUAUGGUAGCCUGCAUUAUUUAUAUUUAUGCAAUAUACCUCCCAUACCGACAUGGAGAUUUAAUUCUCAAUUGUCUGAGAAAUGGCAUCACAUUAUAUGGAAAGGACCAUUAAUGCAUCUGCUGAUUGGUUUGAACUGACUGGGAAAACAUUCCAAAUUCAUACUCACAACUCAAUUGAAUAGGCAUGAAAUAAAAUCUGACUUUUAUAGUCUUCUUCCUCUUUUGAUAAAUUAAAAGCUAGGUCUUAUUUUCAAAAUGCAGAACCAGAAUAUUGAUUCAAAGUGCAAAGAAUAUAAAUAGAAUUAACCUAAGACUGAAGCAAAACCUAUAGAAAAACCAUCUUCAGACCUUUUGGAUUUCAUCCUAAAAGAAAAGGAAAAAAAAAAAA
rnacentral:lncRNA from 1 species